rnacentral:rRNA from 1 species
GUCGGUGGGAUACUACCCUGGCUGUAUUGAAAUUCUAACCCGCGCCCCUGAUCGGGGCGGGAGACAGUGUCAGGUGGGCAGUUUGACUGGGGCGGUCGCCUCCUAAAAAGUAACGGAGGCGCCCAAAGGUUCCCUCAGAAUGGUUGGAAAUCAUUCGCAGAGUGUAAAGGCACAAGGGAGCUUGACUGCGAGACCUACAAGUCGAGCAGGGACGAAAGUCGGGCUUAGUGAUCCGGUGGUUCCGCAUGGAAGGGCCAUCGCUCAACGGAUAAAAGCUACCCCGGGGAUAACAGGCUUAUCUCCCCCAAGAGUCCACAUCGACGGGGAGGUUUGGCACCUCGAUGUCGGCUCAUCGCAUCCUGGGGCUGUAGUCGGUCCCAAGGGUUGGGCUGUUCGCCCAUUAAAGCGGUACGCGAGCUGGGUUCAGAACGUCGUGAGACAGUUCGGUCCCUAUCCGUCGUGGGCGCAGGAAAUUUGAGAGGAGCUGUCCUUAGUACGAGAGGACCGGGAUGGACGCACCGCUGGUGUACCAGUUGUCUUGCCAAAGGCAUCGCUGGGUAGCUAUGUGCGGAAGGGAUAAGUGCUGAAAGCAUCUAAGCAUGAAGCCCCCCUCGAGAUGAGAUUUCCCAUAGCGUCAAGCUAGUAAGAUCCCUGAAAGAUGAUCAGGUUGAUAGGUCAGAGGUGGAAGCGUGGCGACAUGUGGAGCUGACUGAUACUAAUCGAUCGAGGACUUAACCAUG